rnacentral:lncRNA from 1 species
GGCUCACUGGACUGCUAACCAUCCAGCGGGCAGAGUGGUUUCAACAUCAAGACACUGCAAGGAAAGGCAGAGCAAGCUCCACAAAGCUUCUCGCUAAAAGAACACGAGCCCUACUGUCUUCUGCCUCUUGGCUUUCUGUGUUUUGCCAAUGCUUCAUGUCUGGGGGGGGGGUCUGUCUCACUGUUAGGAUACAGGUGUUUGCAAAGACAGGAGGCUGAGGCUGGGCAUGGGAGGCCUCUGCUGAUAUAGCAUAAGAACUGACUUAUUAAUAAUGGCCCCCAAAAGACACACAACUGAGCUCUAAAACAAAGGUCACUGUCAUUUGGCAUUUCGAGGGCUGUUGGGUCUGCAUCCAGGGUGACUCUGAUAAAGCCCUGUACUCUGUCCCCGUGUGGGAGCUAUGUGACACCACACUGUGACCUUUCCCUGCUCCAUGUACUUCUUGGUCCGUCCAUGUGGGUAGAUCGAAUGACAUCAGGUAUAGAGAAGUGAGAGGUGUCUCUGACUUACUGGGUGUGGUUAUCAUUUUCACGGGUGCCGGAGAUUGGGGGCCCCCCUUAUGUUCUUUGUCCUUAAGUUCUUUGUUCUCUGUCCUGUGUGUUACAAAAAAAAAAAAAAAAAAAAAAACCUCCGAGAAAUUGCAGUCCUUCAGCAUUGUCUGUCCCGUGUGUGGGGCUCUAGCUGGAAGGGAGAUGCCUAGAUGGAAUAUGCAAACUACUGCAGAUGCUAACCUCUGUUUCCUAUCUGUCCCAGAGCAGCAGGCAAGGGACCCAGUCAUGACUGACCGUAAACCCAUGUGUGGAGAUGUUUUACAUUUUUUUUUUUUGGUAAGAUUUCAUGGUGCUUUUUUUUUUUAAGGCAUUUUACAGUUCAUGUGUUGGGGGACAUUUCAUAUUGUUCUUAGAAGGAGAGGUGGGAAUUUGCUUGUAACAUUUCAAUAAGCUGUGCUGCUAUUGCCCUUAUUUGAAGAUGUAAUUUUUUUUCAAUGAUGGAGAACAUUGCAACAAAGACCUUCUGGAAGAUCC